UACGUAGGGGGCUAGCGUUGUCCGGAAUCAUUGGGCGUAAAGAGCGUGUAGGCGGUCCGGUAAGUCCGCUGUGAAAGUCGGGGGCUCAACCCUCGAAUGCCGGUGGAUACUGUCGGGCUAGAGUGCGGAAGAGGAGAGUGGAAUUCCCGGUGUAGCGGUGAAAUGCGCAGAUAUCGGGAAGAACACCCGUGGCGAAGGCGGCUCUCUGGGACGGUACUGACGCUGAGACGCGAAAGCGUGGGGAGCAAACAGG
rnacentral:rRNA from 1 species